rnacentral:rRNA from 1 species
UGGGGAAUAUUGCACAAUGGGCGCAAGCCUGAUGCAGCCAUGCCGCGUGUAUGAAGAAGGCCUUCGGGUUGUAAAGUACUUUCAGCGGGGAGGAAGGGAGUAAAGUUAAUACCUUUGCUCAUUGACGUUACCCGCAGAAGAAGCACCGACUAACUCCGUGCCAGCAGCCGCGGUAAUACGGAGGGUGCAAGCGUUAAUCGGAAUUACUGGGCGUAAAGCGCACGCAGGCGGUUUGUUAAGUCAGAUGUGAAAUCCCCGGGCUCAACCUGGGAACUGCAUCUGAUACUGGCAAGCUUGAGUCUCGUAGAGGGGGGUAGAAUUCCAGGUGUAGCGGUGAAAUGCGUAGAGAUCUGGAGGAAUACCGGUGGCGAAGGCGGCCCCCUGGACGAAGACUGACGCUCAGGUGCGAAAGCGUGGGGAGCAAACAGG